UCUGAGUUUUCCUGAAGA
rnacentral:snRNA from 1 species